rnacentral:lncRNA from 1 species
AAACAAUUAAUUAACCAACUAAGUGAAUCACUAAGUUAAAUAAUUAACCAAAACAAAAGCACAUAUAAUAAAUAAAUAAAAUCAAGCAAAUAGAAACAAGGGGAUGCAAAAAAAAAGACUCUAAAUGAGCCAAGACCAAAAACUAAUCUUAAACAAAAGGAUAAAAAGAUAGUUAAAAAAAGAUAAGGAAAAUAAAUUAAAAUUGAAUUAAAGAAAUUAGAAUAUGGUUGUAAUAGGGACGGUGGCCACAUUUGGAACUAAUCUUAAACAAAAGGAUAAAAAGAUAGUUAAAAAAAGAUAAGGAAAAUAAAUUAAAAUUGAAUUAAAGAAAUUAGAAUAUGGUUGUAAUAGGGACGGUGGCCACAUUUGGAGAAAGAGAGCAAAAAUUCAAAUUUCACAACAACCAAUAAUACGAAGACACGUGGCAUACCAUAAAAAAAUAAUAAAAAAAUAAUUUAUCUUCUUCUUGGCCUCACGUUAACAACAAAGAGAGAAAAGUUUUCUCUUCCAAACUCAUGCAUUCUUUCAGCUCGAAAAACAACAACAACUAUACCAUUCAAACCAAAAUCAUGUUUCCUCUUAUCAUAAAC